GAUGAACGCUGGCGGCGUGCCUAAUACAUGCAAGUCGAGCGAACAGAUGAGGAGCUUGCUCCUCUGACGUUAGCGGCGGACGGGUGAGUAACACGUGGAUAAUCUACCUAUAAGACUGGGAUAACUUCGGGAAACCGGAGCUAAUACCGGAUAAUAUAUUGAACCGCAUGGUUCAAUAGUGAAAGACGGUUUUGCUGUCACUUAUAGAUGGAUCCGCGCGGCAUGAGCUAGUUGGUAAGGUAACGGCUUACCAAGGCAACUAUGCGUAGCCGACGUGAGAGGGUGAUCGGCCACACUGGAACUGAGACACGGUCCAGACUCCUACGGGAGGCAGCAGUAGGGAAUCUUCCGCAAUGGGCGAAAGCCUGACGGAGCAACGCCGCGUGAGUGAUGAAGGUCUUCGGAUCGUAAAGCUCUGUUAUUAGGGAAGAACAAAUGUGUAAGUAACUAUGCACGUCUUGACGGUACCUAAUCAGAAAGCCACGGCUAACUACGUG
rnacentral:rRNA from 1 species